rnacentral:rRNA from 1 species
GACGAACGCUGGCGGCGUGCUUAACACAUGCAAGUCGAACGCUGAAGCUUGGUGCUUGCACUGGGUGGAUGAGUGGCGAACGGGUGAGUAAUACGUGAGUAACCUGCUCUUGACUCUGGGAUAAGCCUGGGAAACUGGGUCUAAUACUGGAUACGACAUGCCACUGCAUGGUGGUGUGUGGAAAGGGUUUUACUGGUUUUGGAUGGGCCCAUGGCCUAUCAGCUUGUUGGUGGGGUAAUGGCCUACCAAGGCGACGACGGGUAGCCGGCCUGAGAGGGUGACCGGCGACACUGGGACUGAGACACGGCCCAGACUCCUACGGGAGGCAGCAGUGGGGAAUAUUGCACAAUGGGCGGAAGCCUGAUGCAGCGACGCCGCGUGAGGGAUGACGGCCUUCGGGUUGUAAACCUCUUUCAGCACGGAAGAAGCGAGAGUGACGGUACGUGCAGAAGAAGCGCCGGCUAACUACGUG